rnacentral:rRNA from 1 species
UACGGAGGGUGCAAGCGUUGUCCGGAUUUAUUGGGUUUAAAAGGGUGCGUAGGCGGCCCGUUAAGUCAGUGGUGAAAGCCUCCAGCUCAACUGGAGAACUGCCAUUGAUACUGGCGGGCUUGAGUACAGACGAGGUAGGCGGAAUUGAUUGUGUAGCGGUGAAAUGCAUAGAUACAAUCAAGAACACCGAUUGCGUAGGCAGCUUACUAGGCUGUAACUGACGCUGAGGCACGAAAGCGUGGGGAGCGAACAGG